GGUAGCGUGGCCGAGCGGUCUAAGGCGUUGGUUUAAGGUUCCAGAGGCGUGGGUUCGAAUCCCACCGCUGCCA